rnacentral:rRNA from 1 species
AUUGAACGCUGGCGGCAGGCCUAACACAUGCAAGUCGAGCGGAUGAAGGGUGCUUGCUUCUGGAUCCGGCGGCGGACGGGUGAGUAAUGCCUAGGAAUCUCCCUGGCAGUGGGGGAUAACGUCUGGAAACGGGUGCUACUACUGCAUACGACCUGAGGGUGAUGGUGGGGGAUCUUCGGACCUCUCGCUCUCAGAUGAGCCUAGGUCGGAUUAGCUAGUUGGUGGGGUAAGGGCCUACCUAGCGGAGGAUCCGUAACUGGUCUGAGAGGAUGAUUGGUCACACUGGAGCUGAGACACGGUCCAGGCUCCUAAGGGAGGCAGCAGUGGGGAAUAUUGGACAGUGGGCGGAAGCCUGAUCCAGCCAUGCCGCGUGUGUGAAGAAGGUCUUCGGAUUGUAAAGCACUUUAAGUUGGGAGGAAGGGCAGUAGGUUAAUACCUUGCUGUUUUGACGGUACCAACAGAAUAAGCACCGGCUAACUUCGUG